rfam:Picea glauca, whole genome shotgun sequence.
ACAUGUGUACAACAUAGCGUUAAUGCACCAGAUCCCAUUAGAACUUUGCAGUUAAGCAUGCUCAGGCUAGAGUGGUACUGGGAUGGGUGACCGCUCGGCAACCAGUUUGUGUUCUACAUUGU